rnacentral:rRNA from 1 species
AACGAACGCUGGCGGCGCGCCUAAUACAUGCAAGUCGAGCGAGAAGACGUAGCAAUACGUUUGUAAAGCGGCGAACGGGUGAGGAAUACGAUGGGUAACCUACCCUCGAGUGGGGAAUAACUAGCCGAAAGGUUAGCUAAUACCGCGUACGCUCCUUGGACUUCGGUUCAGGGAGGAAAGCGAUACCGUGGGUAUCGCGCUCUUGGAUGGGCUCAUGUCCUAUCAGCUUGUUGGUNAGGAACGGCUCACCAAGGCUUCGACGGUAGCUGGUCUGAGAGGACGAUCAGCCACACUGGCACUGCGACACGGGCC